rnacentral:lncRNA from 1 species
ACAUAACUAGACCUGGUCCAAAAGACCGGUGGUAGGAACCAUCACGUCGUCGCACCGCGUAGUGAAAUAGAAAAAUAAAGUAACAACACCUCUACUAUUGCAACUAAUGAACCACCACAGAUCCACCGUGACCAGCAAACUAACCGAUGUGAUCCACCGCUGAUCACCAUUGUUGUUCGCGACUCCUUUGUGAACAACAACGAAGGCUACCACAGAUCCACAAGCCUCACCAUGACUAGGAACACGAAUCACCACCGUUAUGCCUUGCCACCGUGACGCAAUGUAACUCCUGCUGUCAUGACUCCCUACACCAUGAGCGCCUUCCUACAAAUCCCACUGUGAGCCCCAAGGUUCUUAACCGUGACAGAGAACGUGAAGGAAGAAAAAGUUGCAUGCCUUCCUAGACUUGUAAGAAAAUCAUAACCAAAACCACCAGCAUUCAUGCGAAUGAAGCAAGAAACCGUGACGAGAAAACCAUCAUUCAUGGAAGACGAAGGAGCAGCCCGCUAGGGUUGGCUCCACCAUGGCACCAGCAAGGGAAGCAAAAACGUAAACCAGUGGUAGCAAGAAACCAAUAGAAUACGAGAUGAAGGAAGGAAAAAUCGUAAAACACAAAUUGGG